GGAGGGAUGGCCGAGUGGCUUAAGGCGGCGGUCUUGAAAACCGCAGACCGGAAGGUCCGGGGGUUCGAAUCCCUCUCCCUCCGCCA
rnacentral:tRNA from 1 species